AGUGAACAGUUAGUUAAGAUCGCAAAGCAACUGAGUUCAUUACUCCGCCAUAUUUUUAUCGCCAAUAUACUGUGGUUUCAAAGCAAAAAAAUAAAAUAAAAUAAUUUAAAAUGAAAUACUUGAAGUGUUCGGAAAUACAAUUUAUGAUGAUGGCAUUCUUAAUGCUCCUGCAGUGUUUCAACGUUUUCGGUCUACCCUUAAUAGAAGAUACUUUGAGAGAUUCUAUUAAGUCGGACAUGUAUAUAAGACCCAAUGCAGGAGUCAUUAAAGUAUUAAAAGAAAGAAUUAGAUUCGCAAAUACAGAUCGAUUUGAAAAUAGAAAGUGGUACAAACAUUAGUAGUUAAAUAUAUUGCUGUUCUUAAAUACAUUAUGUAAUAGUGUUCAUUUGUUUGUAAAUAAUUAUGCGUUUUUAUAGAAAUAAUUGUACGUAGUGUAAGAAAAGUAAAAUAAUUAUAAAUAAUAAAGUUAAUAUUGUUAAAAAUCAUUAAAAUCUAAUAUUCCUUGUCUCCUUGAAAAUGUGGUUUAAGUGGUGUUUUUAUAUAUGAUGGCAAAUGUCUCUAUAUUGCCUUGCAAUUAAAAAGUACUGAAUUUGGUCUUUACAGAACUACUGAAAAAGCUUACUUCACAAGCUUACUUUACAAAAAAAAAACAUUUUGCGAAAAGUGUUUAAAUCAACGCUGAAUUUCCUAGAUCGACAGGAAGAAGACUAUGAAUAAUCUCUAAAGAAGAGUAUGAAACAUCGUUACAUAUAUCGAAAGAAAAGAGGAAGUGAAUAUAUAUCACAGUAUUUCGGAGAGCUGGUGACGAGCAUAUCGGUCUGUCUUCCCUCUUGAUACAAUAGUUCCAUAUUUAACACUCCACACUUUUGGUAAAUAAGGAGAAAGAUGGAAAUGAAUUUUGACGUCUUUUAUGCUUUAAGCUAAUUCUGGAAUAAUCUACUAAACGAAAAUGGUAAUUUUGAUGGAUAGUAUCAAUCGCAUUCUUAAGCCACGAUGAGGAUACUUUGCAAAUAGGACUGGAAUCAAAUUGCUGAAUUGAGGGUUUCCAAAUGCUAUAAUUCUCAGUCAACGAUUUGAAUGAAUGCGUUGAACAAUAAAGGAUUUCGAUGAGAUUGAUGAUAAGAUGGAAUUGAAAAUAUAAACUUCAGAAAGAAACCAUAAAAUAUAAUUCCAAACGUUUUAUCAAAUUUUAAAUAGCUUUAGAAACUGCUAUUACGUUGUUCUUACAAUAUUUCAUGAAGCGGGAUUUACUUUUUAAGCAAAUUACUUCCUUUCAGGUUAUUUAAUUUACAUAUUUAUUUCAUCAAAAUCAUAUGUUUCCAAGAUUGGAAUUUAAAGAACCUGCUGAUGUUCGACUGCGGAAAAUAGUGUUGACAAAGAUAACCAGAGAUGAAUCGACGUUAAUUUGUAUUAAAAAUCAGAAAAAUAAAUAUUAUUUUUGGUCCCUUAUAAAGGGAUUUUCAAUAAGAGAGCUACACAAGUUUUUUUUAAAUAAAUCCAAAAACGAUUUGGGAUAGUAAUGAAUGAAAUAUGUAUGAAACUAGAUUCUUUUGCAUGGCCACCACGGGCACGCUUACAGAAGUACAGACCCUGAACACAAUUUUCGACGGUUUUCAAUCAUAAAUCGGCCGAUACUGCUGCAAUUUAACGUUCGAUAUUCGUACAAAUUUCAUAAAUCGUCGGUGGAUUGCUGGUAUAGACCAUAGAUAUGACUUAGCCCCACAGGAAAUAGUCUAACGAUAUUGUCCAAGUCCAUAUCAUCCAAUUCGGCCAAAAAUAUUUGGUUAUCAUUGAGUGGUAGUGAUUCCCAUUCAAAAGUAUGUGUCGGUCUUGAUCACCCCGGAAAAAGUACGGACAAAUAACGCCUUAGGAGAGAGCAAUGUUAAAACAGCGGGACAAAUCUGGCAUCGUUUUUAUCCCUGUUGUCAACUUUUGUAGAUUUAUGAGAACUGAAAUAGUAAUAUGCAAAUAUGCAUACAUCCAAGACCACAUAGGCCCUAUUUUUAAAACAUGUGAUAUUCGUUAUAUUAUUAAUUAUUCGGUAGUUCUGAAUACAAUUUCAGUUCUGGGACUCCCUGCAUAAUAGAUUUACGUCAUUAUCAAUUUUCCUCAUAGAGAAAAAUGUAAUCAUCUAUUAUACAAACUAGUGAUGAGCGAUAUUGCUAUUUUUGAAUCACUGUGAUUUUAGUGAUUGCUAUUUUUAAAUCACUGUGAUUUUAUAUUGGUAUUGCGAUCACAACAAAAAAAAACGAAUUUAUGAGAAUUUAUACUCCACAUUCUUUUUUUUAAUUUUUUACAUUUACAUUUUUAUUAAUUUUAACAAUAUCCAAAAUUUAACUGCUUUCGUAAUCACAAUUAAUUAAUUAAUAAGUUUUAGGUACAUUUAACUGCUUUUGUAAUCACCGCACCCAAAAUUAUCAAAAUCACAACUAAAUUUUCUUCUGUGAUUACUGAACAGUGAUUGCUACUUUCGAACUCUGAUAUUGCUACUGAACAUUGAUUGUUACUUUUCGAACUGCUACGUAUUGCUACAGUGAUCGAAUUAAAAUCACUGAACUGCUAUUGCUACAAUGAUCGAAUUAGAAUUACUGAAGUCGUAUAUGUACUGUGAUCGAACAAAAACAUUGAACUUCUCUAUAGCUACCGUGAUCGAACUUAAAUUACUGAACUGCAAUUGCGAUUGUAAAUCACUGAUAUUUAAAAAAAUUUAUCACAGUUGCUAUAUGUGAUUUUUCAAUCACAGUGAAAAAAUCACCGGUAGUGAAAUAUCGCUCAUCACUAAUACAAACCUCAUUCCGGGUGCUAAGAAACGUGUAGACUAAAUACUUGAUAUCUAAGUUUUUACUAAAGUCAUCACUUGCAUCGACAGAAUUAUUGGAUAUAUUGAUAUUAUCCGAUACGAUUUUUUAGUUAGGUAUGUAGAAAUGCGCAAUGUUAUCGUUCAUAUUGUACAAAAAUUUCAUUCCGAUGCGUAGAAAAAUAAUCCAUGAAAUAAGAAAGAAAGAAUGUGCCGUUAUUAAACUUAUUAUGUUGCAAUAUUUUUUAACCACAGCAACGACGAAUUUGAGUUUUGUUAGAAUUAGGCAUGGUUUUUUUUCAGAAAGAAAGAAAGUUUGGGUUUCUUUUCAGAAAGAACGACAUAUUUUGUGUUUGAAUUAUAUUUGUGAAAAGGGAAUUAAAAUUUUCAUGUUGCUUAUUUCAGCAUUAAAGACACAUUUAACUUAUGUCAGCGAAAUUGAUUUAUAUUUUUUACAAAUAACGACAUAAUUCAGAAACAGGGUCCCUGCAAGACGGAGGUAACAAACUGCACAAACACAAUCAAACUUUUUCAGCUGUUUACACAUACAAUUACAACUCUUACUUUCGUAAGAACACUGAUCGAAAUUUUUGGAAUUUGGUCAAGUUUUCGAGACAUUAAGCACUGUACAUGUCCACUUAUUUAUAAUUUAGGGCCUUUUUCUGGCUUUAGUUCUUGUAUUUCCAUAUUUUCCGAUCAAUUUUAGCCAUUUUACACUAUUUAGAGGGUUAAAGAAAACAUUGCUGUUAGAUCUCAAACGUUUUUACCCCAUUGGAGAUUAUGGGGCAAUAGUUGGACCUCUUCAAACUAAACCCUUUGCAUGGAAUAUUAAAAAGACAAUAAUGGGUAAUUCAGUUAUGAAAAAAAGCAAAAAUUAAUCACCAACUAAUUGACAAAUUCAUUGUACAUGCCUUUACGAAGAAUAGGUAACGGUGAAGUACGGUUAACUGUAUAACACGUGCUUAACAAGUCAAAUAAUCGAAGUGUGUAAAGUUUUUCUUGACACUAACAAAAUUGAAUGAUUUUUGUUUUUUGUUGUUCUUGGUUGGUUUUUGCAUUGCUUUCGCAGCUUUUUUUGCAUCACAUCUCUUGAAAUACUGUAAGUAACCAUCCCUGAUUCAAAAAAUAUGUUGCACUGAAGUAAAAAGUAAAAAAUUUGGCUGCGGAAAGUGAAAAAGUGUAUUUAUUUUCUAUAUGAAAAGAAGAAAAAUAAAUAUUAAAAGCUUUGUAAAUACUAGUGGCCAUUGUAUAUUGUGUAGUUCCAUUAUGUAUUAUUUCCCAUAUA